GGCAGGUGAUCAAUGGAUACAAAGCCAGCGAAUGCUUCUUUCUUGAGCUCAAGUCAAAGGUAGUCUGAUAAAGCAUCUCCACAAAAUUUUUCAAACAUGGCACAUUCACUUCAUUUUUAACAGCAGCAGCCACAGGGAUAAGAAUUUCCACAAACAAACCAGCAAGUGCAUGCUUUAUGUCUUUGUCUUUUACUUCCAGGAAGUACUGCGCACAUUCC
rnacentral:lncRNA from 1 species